rnacentral:rRNA from 1 species
UGCGUAGGCGGGCUAAUAAGUCAGUGGUGAAAUCUCUCGGCUCAACCGGGAAACUGCCAUUGAUACUGUUAGUCUUGAGUUCGGUUGAGGUAGGCGGAAUGUGUAAUGUAGCGGUGAAAUGCUUAGAUAUUACACAGAACACCGAUUGCGUAGGCAGCUUACUAGACCGACACUGACGCUGAGGCACGAAAGCGUGGGGAGCGAACAGGAUUAGAUACCCUGGUAGUCC